ACGUGGCAGUGGGAAGCUCAGCGGAGGGGCCACGGGCGGAGUGCGCAUGCGUCACUCUCUGGCCAGCCCUUGGGAAGGUCUGAGACGAGGGCCAGCGGCGGCCCUAGCAGGGCCCCCCCCGAGCCGCGGGGGGGUGAGUUCCCAGAGAAGGGGGCCUCGCGCGGGGGCCGACCGGGCAGGAGAAGCCGCGCCGCGCCGGCGCCCCCUAGCGUCCGCCCGGCCCGCGGCGGAUGCCCCUCCCGCCGGGGCUUGGAAACGACUCACGGCCGGCGGGCUGAGUGCAAUGGCUGAGGGGGGGCACGGUUGGUUUGCCGCCGGCUCCCUAACCCAAUUCAGACUACUCUUCCCUGCCACUUUUGCCGACUUUUGCUGCACAUACAUUCCCGGAUGACGAGGGAGGCUUCCGGUUAGGGGCGGUGCUCGGGCCUCCCUAGCCAAUCACACUCUUUCUUGCCCCCCAAAAGCGCUGCCAUGCGGCCCACCCGCUCUCUUUUCCUGCAGGUUCCAUCCGCCGCCAUCUCCCAUCCCGUGCAGCCUGGAUGGGCCGCAUCUGCCACCUCUCUUCGACUUGCAGCUGGGUUACCCCCGCGCGGGACCGUAGGAAUGAAGGACCGUCUCCUUUUUGGCGGGGGGCAGAGAAAGGGGCUUCGGCACUUAACAUGCCCCUGGGCUCCUCCGCACUUUCAGCCGAUUGCAACUCUGGUGCCCUGAUGCUUCACCAGCUCCAGCCCAGUGAAGGAGCCACGUGGGUCUUCAAGUGUCCUCCCUGACGGCCAGAACCAGCAGCCCGACAUGGCAUGGGGACCAGCGUCAGGACGUGCCUAUUUGGGAGAAGAGACUUGAGAUGGUGGCAAGGACCCCGUGAUACCUGUUAUUUGGCCUUGCCCAGGCUGGAAAUGCCCUGGAAUCGGUGAUGAGGAAGAGAGGGAAACCCCAGAGAGACCCUUCCUCAGGAGGAACAAAACCCCAACUGAAGUUGACUUUGUCUUUUUCAGCCUGCACUUCAGGAUGGUAGAAGUCUCAGGGGCCCUGGUCUCGCUCGAAGAGGUCCAUUAUUAGACUGGAGAAAUGGGUCUGGGACCCAACCCUUGAAGCCUGGAAUUGGAGCAAACCCUAACAAUAUUUAGUCCCUCUAAUAAAAUGGGCCUGAGUCACUCAUCUCUGUUUGCACAAGGGCACUGAAACUGCACAUGGCAUAGCGGGAGGAGUUAUUACUUAAAAGUGGCUGCCAGCAUGUAGGGCAGUUUCAGUCAAGAAAGGGCAUUUGGUAAGUGCAUGCUGACUGCAGAGCACUAUGGGAGAGUUUCCAGAAAAAAAAAUCCUACAUUCUCUUCAAGGUGCUUACAAAAUAUUUGAAUGAAUGAAUAUGUACGGCUGAAUAAAGAAUUGAAGAUAUAAACCUA